CAGUGUUCUGAACUACUAAGGA
rnacentral:siRNA from 1 species